rnacentral:rRNA from 1 species
UACGGAGGAGGCAAGCGUUGUCCGGAAUUAUUGGGCGUAAAGCGUCCGUAGGUGGUUGACCAAGUCUGCUGUCAAAGGGUGGGGCUUAACCUCAUAAAGGCAGUGGAAACUGGUGAGCUAGAGUGCGGUAGGGGUAAGGGGAAUUCCCAGUGUAGCGGUGAAAUGCGUAGAGAUUGGGAAGAACAUCGGUGGCGAAAGCGCCUUGCUGGGCCGGCACUGACACUGAGGGACGAAAGCUUGGGGAGCGAAAGGG